CGCGUAGGCGGUUUUGUUAGUCGGAUGUGAAAUCCCCGGGCUUAACCUGGGAACUGCAUUCGAUACUGCAUGACUAGAGUAUGGUAGAGGGAAGUGGAAUUCCGGGUGUAGCGGUGAAAUGCGUAGAUAUCCGGAGGAACACCAGUGGCGAAGGCGACUUCCUGGGCCAAUACUGACGCUGAGGUGCGAAAGCGUGGGGAGCAAACA
rnacentral:rRNA from 1 species